rnacentral:rRNA from 1 species
GACGAAGGGGGCAAGCGUUGUUCGGAAUUACUGGGCGUAAAGCGUGCGCAGGCGGUUUUGUAAGCCAGAUGUGAAAGCCCCGGGCUUAACCUGGGAACUGCACUUGUGACUGCACGGCUGGAGUACGGCAGAGGGGGAUGGAAUUCCGCGUGUAGCAGUGAAAUGCGUAGAUAUGCGGAGGAACACCGAUGGCGAAGGCAGUCCCCUGGGCCUGUACUGACGCUCAUGCACGAAAGCGUGGGGAGCAAACAGG